rnacentral:rRNA from 1 species
GAUGAACGCUGGCGGCGUGCCUAAUACAUGCAAGUCGAGCGAACGGACGAGAAGCUUGCUUCUCUGAUGUUAGCGGCGGACGGGUGAGUAACACGUGGAUAACCUACCUAUAAGACUGGGAUAACUUCGGGAAACCGGAGCUAAUACCGGAUAAUAUUUUGAACCGCAUGGUUCAAAAGUGAAAGACGGUCUUGCUGUCACUUAUAGAUGGAUCCGCGCUGCAUUAGCUAGUUGGUAAGGUAACGGCUUACCAAGGCAACGAUGCAUAGCCGACCUGAGAGGGUGAUCGGCCACACUGGAACUGGAACACGGUCCAGACUCCUACGGGAGGCAGCAGUAGGGAAUCUUGCGCAAUGGGCGAAAGCCUGACGGAGCAACGCCGCGUGAGUGAUGAAGGUCUUCGGAUCGUAAAACUCUGUUAUUAGGGAAGAACAUAUGUGUAAGUAACUGUGCACAUCUUGACGGUACCUAAUCAGAAAGCCACGGCUAACUACGUG